rnacentral:rRNA from 1 species
UACGUAGGGGGCAAGCGUUGUCCGGAAUCAUUGGGCGUAAAGCGCGUGUAGGCGGCUCGGUAAGUCUGCUCUGAAAGUCCAAGGCUCAACCUUGGGAUGCGGGUGGAUACUGCCGGGCUCGAGUCCGGAAGAGGCGAGUGGAAUUCCUGGUGUAGCGGUGAAAUGCGCAGAUAUCAGGAGGAACACCAAUGGCGAAGGCAGCUCGCUGGGACGUGACUGACGCUGAGACGCGAAAGCCAGGGGAGCGAACGGG